rnacentral:rRNA from 1 species
AACGAACGCUGGCGGCAUGCCUAACACAUGCAAGUCGAACGAGACCUUCGGGUCUAGUUGCGCACGGGUGCGUAACGCGUGGGAACCUUCCCUUAGGUUCGGAAUAACUCCCCGAAUGGGGUGCUAAUACCGGAUAAUGUCUUCCGUCCAAAGAUUUAUCGCCUUUGGAUGGGCGCGCGUUGUAUUAGCUAGUUGGUAGGGUAAAAGCCUACCAAGGCGACGAUCCAUAGAUGGUCUGAGAGGAUGAUCAGCCACACUGGGACUGAGAAACGGCACAGAAUACAAGGGAAGGGAGGAGUGGAGAAUAUAGGAAAAUGGGGGAAAGAAUGAAGAAGCAAGGACGCGAGAGAGAUGAAGGAGGUAGGGAAGUAAAGCAAUUUUACACGGGAUGAUAAUGACAGUACCGGGAGAAUAAGCUCCGGCUAACUCCGUG